GGUCUGUAGCUCAGUUGGUUAGAGCACCGUCUUGAUAAGGCGGGGGUCGAUGGUUUCGAGCCCAUCCAGACCCCACCAUU
rnacentral:tRNA from 1 species